rnacentral:rRNA from 1 species
AUGAUAUCUGGUGGCGGGAGGUCCCAUGGCUCCAUAGCCAUGGGAGAUGGACUUAUCCGUUGUCCUAGCACUCUCUCGAAGAUCAAGGCGCGCCAGUCGAGCUCCGCUCCUGAGAUAAGGCCUCGUGAAUGGCCAAUCCAACUCGCCAUCAAGGCUGCUAUACAGAGUGAGAGAGAUAGAACGGAGAAACUUCUGGCGGAGGCGGCGGAGAGGCAGCGGGAAUUGGAGGAGAGGACGACAAAGAUGUUGGAGGAGGAGAGGGCACGGAAUGACAUGCAGGCAAGGGCCAUGUAUGAGCUCCUUGUGUCUGUGUGCGAGAAGUCCGGUCAGACCGCUCCGCCGAUGCCAGUGAUUGCUCCUGGGAGCACGCUUAACUCCAGAAACGCAUCGCACGAUCCUUCUCCAGCUACCGGCACGAGCCAGCCCGCUCCUCCACCUCCCUGA